rnacentral:lncRNA from 1 species
CUCCAUUCACUCAGCAGCCCAAGCCCGGCCAGGCAGCGCGCGCUGCUCCUUGGGGGCGCCCUCGCAGCUGGGGUGAGGGCGGGUCCGAGGGAGCGUCCCUCUCGGAGACACCCUCCUCUUCAACCCAACACGCGCUCUCAGCUGGCCGGUGUGGCACAACCCUCCCCCCACCUCCCCUUCUUGGCCUUCGCCAGUGUGGGAGCCUCGUCUCACUGGAGAGUCCGUUCAGGCUCUGUCACUAUUUCCCAUUGGCCAAACGCUACUGGAAGUGGAAGGCUAAGAAGCCCGAUGGUGCAAUCCAUACACGUCAGCCUCUGGGGCCAGAGUGGGAUGAAAAAAGAAUAAAGAAACAUCAGAAAUAUUAAAAUGAGGACCAAAAGGAGUCCCAGAGAUGGGGUUUCACCGUGUUAGCCAGGAUAGUCUCAAUCUCCUGACCUCAUGAUCCGCCUGCCUUGGCCUCCCAAAGUGCUGGGAUUACAGGUGUGAGCCACCAUGCCCAGCCAAAUUUUCAAAUAAAUAAAUAAAUGUGUAGCAAAAGCAAA